GAUGAACGCUGGCGGCGUGCCUAAUACAUGCAAGUCGAGCGAACGGACGAGAAGCUUGCUUCUCUGAUGUUAGCGGCGGACGGGUGAGUAACACGUGUAUAACCUACCUAUAAGACUGGGAUCACUUCGGGAAACCGGAGCUAAUACCGGAUAAUAUUUUGAACCGCAUGGUUCAAAAGUGAAAGACGGUCUUUCUGUCACUUAUAGAUGGAUCCGCGCUGCAUUAGCUAGUUGGUAAGGUAACGGCUUACCAAGGCAACGAUGCAUAGCCGACCUGAGAGGGUGAUCGGCCACACGGGAACGGAGACACGGUCCAGAGUCCUACGGGAGGCAGCAGUAGGGAAUCUUCCGCAAUGGGCGAAAGCCUGACGGAGCAACGCCGCGUGAGUGAUGAAGGUCUUCGGAUCGUAAAACUCUGUUAUUAGGGAAGAACAUAUGUGUAAAUAACUGUGCACAUCUUGACGGUACCUAAUCAGAAAGCCACGGCUAACUACGUG
rnacentral:rRNA from 1 species